ACGCAACUGGCGAGUUACUGGCAGCCAACACGACCGAGGCCACUGACCUCAUGGACUCCUACAGCAGAAACUACCAAAACAAAAUCCAGGCCCAGAUGACCCCUCAGCAGACCCCUGCAGUAAGUCAGAGUUAUAGAUUCUGUUAUUUUUACACGCUUAUUGGCUUGAUAUAAUCCACAGAAGCUAUCAUGGCCAGGAAUAGCAGAUAGGGAUGAAAUGAACAGUCACACUCAUGCAAGCACAAUAUUUCUGUGAAAGCAACAGGAAAUGGCUUCCAAUAACAGACGCCAGCAGCUGAUUCGAGAAGCUCUGAGCGGGAAGAGUCCUGGUGCUUAUGCCGAGCUGUUUCAGAGAAGUGCACCCACAGCUCCAUCAUCAUUAGCCUCUCAGUCCCGGCCCCCACCCGGCCCCUCUUCCUCCCCAAUGCGUCCUGUUGGCCUCAGCGCUCCUGACCCCGAUGAGGACAGCAGUUCUGAUGAAUCUCGUGCCAGUUCUGGCCUGUCCAUGAGGAGCUCAGCAGGGGUGCUCUCAGCGGCCCAGGGAUCAGAUGCUGGGUCGGGGCCCAACGUAGAGCCUUUGGAUAUGUUUAUGCUGGGGCAGGACCAGGACUCUCUUAUAGGUGAUGAGCAUUUUCUUCUCUGUGUUCAUACGUUAGACUUUUUAGCAUGUAGUUUGUACUUACAUAAUACAUUUACAUUUUAG
rnacentral:lncRNA from 1 species